rnacentral:lncRNA from 1 species
AUGAGGGAACUGCCUGGUGCUCUGUGUGACCCCAUCUUCCACCAGCUGGUUGAGCUGCUCAGCAACAGCUUCUACUCCUGGGAGAUGGUGGCCAUGGUCUUCCUCAUUGAGAUGCUGGAGUGUGUGGACCUCACCACAGAGCUGCACCACAUCCUGAAAGUCUUCACCACCUAUCUGCAGAGCCAGAAAAUGGGCAUGCAGCAGCUGGUGCUCAGGGACAUCCUGCAGCUCAGCAAGAGGCAGGACACGGCGAGGCCAAUGAUCAUCUUCCUGCUGUGCAUCAUGGAGCAGCUGCAGGACGCAGACAGCGACAUCCGUGCCAUAGCCCUACCAAUACUCAGCACCCUGCUGCAGCUCCUGGAUGGGGCUAAGAUCAGCCUCAUGGCUCUGGAGCUGUCCGGCAAGCUCCCAGUACUCUUUAAUGACGCGUCCAGCACUGUGCGGCAGCUCUCCAUCGACCUCUUCUUGGAAAUGUUGAGCUUUGCGGAGGGCCAAGGGAAGAGGAAGAUGCAGAAGGAGGUGUGCAAGAACUUGGCCCUGCUGUAUCUGCAGCUGCACGAUGAGAAAGACAGUGUGGCCAAGGCCUCCCAGAAAGCCCUCCUCAGUGCCGCAUUGUUCCUGUGCUGGAGGUGGCUGGAGCACCUGGUGCAGACAGCGCAGUUCUGGCAGAUCAGCGAGUGCCUGCUGGUCAAGAGGAGGAGGAAGAAUGUGGCACAGGACUACCUGGGCCAGAGCCUGCUCUACCUACGGAGCCCGCAGGACCCCUGCGCCGGGAAGCUGUGAAAUUCAUCA